rnacentral:rRNA from 1 species
AUUGGUGUCUUUAGCGCACAGGGUCCACCCGUUCCCAUUCCGAACACGGUAGUUAAGCUGUGCUGUGCCGAAAAUACUUGUCUGGAGACGGACCGGGAAGAUAGGUCGAUGCCAAUA